rnacentral:lncRNA from 1 species
UUGUCCUAUUUUAAGCUUCAUUACUUGGACUAUAACUACUGCCAAAUAUCGAAGUGGCCUGUUUUCUUUGGCCCACACUGUAUAUACACACAUACAUAAUGUACCUACCAUAAAAAUAUACAUCACAGAAAAAUAACAGUAUUUUUAGGUAGCUGUGCUUUUGAAAAAGUCUGUCACUUUGGCCUGUGUUAAUAUCUUUAUCAAUCAAUAUCGACAAGAUCAGAAGGGACCCGUUGCUCAAAACAGUCUAGUAGAAUAUUUGAAUAUUGGCAGCACGCUCAGAUUCCUGAUUAGUUACUCCUUUGAUUAAUAUAGUCCCCUCUUGACUCUCAUUUUUGGAUUGAUCAGUUUGAAAGGUUCUUUGAUUUUAAGGGUUCGUGAAAAUAUCCAAUUGCUUAGCACACACUGGCCUAGAGAUUGUUAGGACCUCCGAUCUUUGCUGCAUAAACCACCUGUUUAGAAAGUGCUUCAUCUGGUUGUUGAAAAGUUGACCUUUUUAAUGAUUUCUGAACACAUAUACGUUUCUUUAAAAAGGGCCAUACAGAGAUAUAAAAUUUUGUAGAUUCACUUUGUAUUUGUAGAUAUGACGUAUUUUUUGCUUGUCAACUUCAUAGAUUCGUGAUAAUAAUGUGACACGUUCACCCUUUUCACUUCUGUUUAAAAGCCCUAUAUUUUGUUUCACGUUAAGAAUAAGUUACGCUUAUGGAGAUCAGUGCUGCCAAACCUCUCGGGCACGGGUGGCUACUCGACUGCCGAUAUAUGAUUCAUUCUAAUCAGUACGGCGUGGCAUCGUCGCGCUUCUAUCGUUCAUAAGAGAUAUAUGGGGCUAUCUCCACAAUGUUCUAAACGUGAAAUGCUCAAUAGUUUUUGUUCAAUCGUUAAAAUAUUCCUUUGCAAUAGUUAAUACCAUUUUGGAAACACAUGUUACGAAUAUAGCAGCAUCUAGCGUCCUUCUCUAUAUCUAUAACUAGCGUCUCUUCUCUAUAUCUAUAACUAAUCUGACACAUUCAGCGUGACUCACAGGUAGUGUUGCCAGGUCUGAUUUGUUUUAAAUCGGUACAUAAGGUAAACCAAAUCGGGAUUUAGGUAAAUAACUGUUUUGGAGUAUUUUACUUACCGUCGUAAGGUUCUACUUACCGCCUACUUCAAAAAAUCUUUAUAUUUUUUUUUAUGUAAAAGUCUCAAGCCAGUUACGCUCAAAAUAAAGUUGACCCUUUUUUUGGUAAAGAAAAAUCGUGAAAAUCUCUCCUUAUUUAGCACCCUAAAUAAAAUUACCGCUCUACCAUUUACUUUAUAUGUGUAUUGCUUAUACGAAAAAAUGCUCUUUUUUCAAAAUAACUUGAAAAGUAUUAGUGAUACGAAAAAUCUCAAGGAGUAAAAAAAAUGUAGGUUUUGCUUUUAUAAAUAUGAUAGUUUCAUUUUGUUUUUCUGUAAGACAAAAAUUGGUUAUAAGAUAUCUGUUCAUAUUUUGCAUACACUCGUGAUUAGUGACUCCAUCAGGCCCUUUCAACAAUGACCCUUUCAAAAAUAAGCCCUUGAAACCGGUGAAACUUAUAGAUCAUAUAAAAAAUACAUAAGAAAAGUAAAUUGUUUGUAAAGCGGUAACGAUUAAUUUCAUUUGGGGUGCUAAAUAGAAGGAGAUUUUCACGAUUUUUGUUUGGUUUUUAUAACAUAGUUACAUAUAAAAUUCACUGCAAGCCAUGCUGAAAUUGGUUUUCGUGGGUGAAAUUUAUCGGGACAUUUGGUAUCCCGAUCAGGUACAAAUCGGUACGCAUCUUCAGACCCCUGAAAAUCGGGACGUCCCGCGCAAAUCGGGACACCUGGCAACCCUACUCACAGCUGCAAAUGACAAAUGAUUUGAUAAAACCUCAAAAAUACAGUUUGAGUAGUGGAAAUUCACAGCACAGAUAAUAAUCCGCGCACGGAUAAUCGGGGUUCUAUUGUAUCAAGAAACCAGUAAGUAGACUAUUAGAGCCAAUUAUUUUCCCAAAUUUUGCACCAAAUCCCCAGUGAGGGCAGGUUGUCUAAUUCAUGGCCCAAAUGCUUAUGAUGGUUCUGUAAUAGGUGAAAUAAAAUCGAAAGAAAAUGAUAGAAAAAUUGAAGUAUCUUUAUUAAAGUCAAGCAUCUUAUUUUAAUGGAAAUGAUUUUUAUUUUUAUUAAAUUAUUUAAAUAUGGUUUUAUCUUUUAAUCGUUUUGGUUAUUACUGACUUUAUUCUGUCUUCCAUCCAUUGCUUACUUUAUAUUAUAUGAUAUGUUCCCAAUUUCCGAACAUUCUUUUGACUUUUUGUAACCAAAUUUUAUCUUUACUUUUCUCAAGACCAAAUUAUAACCAAAAA